UACGUAGGGUGCAAGCGUUAAUCGGAAUUACUGGGCGUAAAGCGUGCGCAGGCGGUUAUGUAAGACAGGUGUGAAAUCCCCGGGCUCAACCUGGGAACUGCAUCUGUGACUGCAUAGCUAGAGUACGGUAGAGGGGGAUGGAAUUCCGCGUGUAGCAGUGAAAUGCGUAGAUAUCGGAAGGAACAUCAGUGGCGAAAGCGACUUCCUGGACCAGUACCGACGUUCAGGCACGAAAGCGUGGGGAGCAAACAGG
rnacentral:rRNA from 1 species